rnacentral:rRNA from 1 species
GACGAACGCUGGCGGCGCGCUUAACACAUGCAAGUCGAACGAAGAGCGAUGGAAGCUUGCUUCUAUCAAUCUUAGUGGCGAACGGGUGAGUAACGCGUAAUCAACCUGCCCUUCAGAGGGGGACGACAGUUGGAAACGACUGCUAAUACCGCAUACGAUCUAACCUCGGCAUCGAGGAUAGAUGAAAGGUGGCCUCUAUUUAUAAGCUAUCACUGAAGGAGGGGAUUGCGUCUGAUUAGCUAGUUGGAGGGGUAACGGCCCACCAAGGCGAUGAUCAGUAGCCGGUCUGAGAGGAUGAACGGCCACAUUGGGACUAAGACACGGCCCAGACUCCUACGGGAGGCAGCAGUGGGGAAUCUUCCGCAAUGGACGAAAGUCUGACGGAGCAACGCCGCGUGAGUGAUGACGGCCUUCGGGUUGUAAAGCUCUGUUAAUCGGGACGAAAGGCCUUCUUGCGAAUAGUUAGAAGGAUUGACGGUACCGGAAUAGAAAGCCACGGCUAACUACGUGCCAGCAGCCGCGGUAAUACGUAGGUGGCAAGCGUUGUCCGGAAUUAUUGGGCGUAAAGCGCGCGCAGGCGGAUUGGUCAGUCUGUCUUAAAAGUUCGGGGCUUAACCCCGUGAUGGGAUGGAAACUGCCAAUCUAGAGUAUCGGAGAGGAAAGUGGAAUUCCUAGUGUAGCGGUGAAAUGCGUAGAUAUUAGGAAGAACACCAGUGGCGAAGGCGACUUUCUGGACGAAAACUGACGCUGAGGCGCGAAAGCCAGGGGAGCGAACGGGAUUAGAUACCCCGGUAGUCCUGGCCCGUAA